rnacentral:rRNA from 1 species
UAAGGAAUAUUGGUCAAUGGACGGAAGUCUGAACCAGCCAUGCCGCGUGCAGGAAGACGGCCCUACGGGUUGUAAACUGCUUUUGUACCGGAAUAAACCUGCUUACGUAUAAGCAGCUGAAUGUACGGUAAGAAUAAGGAUCGGCUAACUCCGUGCCAGCAGCCGCGGUAAUACGGAGGAUCCGAGCGUUAUCCGGAUUUAUUGGGUUUAAAGGGUGCGUAGGCGGCCUAUUAAGUCAGGGGUGAAAGACGGUAGCUUAACUAUCGCAGUGCCUUUGAUACUGAUAGGCUUGAAUGUACUUGAGGUAGGCGGAAUGUGACAAGUAGCGGUGAAAUGCAUAGAUAUGUCACAGAACACCAAUUGCGAAGGCAGCUUACUAAAGUAUGAUUGACGCUGAGGCACGAAAGCGUGGGGAUCAAACAGGAUUAGAUACCCGCGUAGUCC